rnacentral:rRNA from 1 species
UACGUAGGGGGCUAGCGUUGUCCGGAAUCAUUGGGCGUAAAGAGCGCGUAGGCGGCCAGAUAAGUCCGGUGUGAAAGUCAAAGGCUCAACCUUUGAAUGCCGCUGGAAACUGCCUGGCUAGAGUCCGGGAGGGGCGAGUGGAAUUCCUGGUGUAGCGGUGAAAUGCGCAGAUAUCAGGAGGAACACCAACGGCGAAGGCAGCUCGCUGGGACGGUACUGACGCUGAGACGCGAAAGCGUGGGGAGCGAACAGG